rnacentral:rRNA from 1 species
AACGUAGGAGACAAACGUUAUCCGGAGUUACUGGGCGUAAAGGGCGUGUAGGUGGUUUAGUAAGUCUGGCGUGAAAUUUUUCGGCUUAACCGGGAAAGGUCGUCGGAUACUGCAAGACUAGAGGACGGUAGAGGCGUGUGGAAUUGCGGGUGUAGUGGUGAAAUGCGUAGAGAUCCGGAGGAACACCAGUGGCGAAGGCGACACGCUGGGCCGUACCUGACACUGAUGCGCGACAGCAUGGGGAGCAAACAGG